rnacentral:rRNA from 1 species
GAUGAACGCUGGCGGCGUGCUUAACACAUGCAAGUCGAACGGAAAGGCUCCUGCUUGCAGGGGUACUCGAGUGGCGAACGGGUGAGUAACACGUGGGUGAGCUGCCCUGCACUUCGGGAUAAGCCUGGGAAACUGGGUCUAAUACCGGAGAGGACGAGGGGUUGGAUGCGAUUGUGGAAAGUUUUUCGGUGUGGGAGAAGCUCGGGGCCUAUCAGCUUGUUGGUGGGGUAAUGGCCUACCAAGGGGUCGACGGGUAGCCGGCCUGGGAGGGGGUACGGCCACCUUGGGCCUGCGAUACGGCGCAGACUCCUACGGGAGGCAGCAGUCGGGAAUAUUGCCCAAUCGGCGCAAGCCUGUUGAAGCGGCGCCGCGUGGGGGAUGCCGGCCUUCGGGUUGUAAACUCCUUUCGCUAGGGACGAAGCGCAAGUGACGGUACCUGGAGAAGAAGCACCGGCUAACUACGUG